UCCGGCUUAUCACCGGCAGUUUCCUCAGAGUUCUCAGCUUGACCUGUUAGCAACAGAGGAUGAGGGUUGCGCUCGUUGCGGGACUUAACCCAACAUCUCACGACACGAGCUGACGACAGCCAUGCAGCACCUGUGCUCCUCCCACCCGAAGUGAAGGGAACCGUCUCUGGUUCCCAUAGAGGGCAUGUCAAGGCCUGGUAAGGUUCUUCGCGUUGCCUCGAAUUAAACCACAUGUUCCACCGCUUGUGCGGGUCCCCGUCAAUUCCUUUGAGUUUUAAUCUUGCGACCGUACUCCCCAGGCGGGAUGCUUAACGCGUUAACUACGCCACUGGAGGGUAACCCCCCAACGGCUAGCAUCCAUCGUUUACAGCGUGGACUAC
rnacentral:misc_RNA from 1 species